AUUUUGUGACUGAGUGGCGGACGGGUGAGUAACGCGUGGGUAACCUGCCUUGUACAGGGGGAUAACAGUUGGAAACGGCUGCUAAUACCGCAUAAGCGCACGGCAUCGCAUGAUGCAGUGUGAAAAACUCCGGUGGUAUAAGAUGGACCCGCGUUGGAUUAGCUAGUUGGUGAGGUAACGGCCCACCAAGGCGACGAUCCAUAGCCGACCUGAGAGGGUGACCGGCCACAUUGGGAUUGAGACACGGCCCAAACUCCUACGGGAGGCAGCAGUGGGGAAUAUUGCACAAUGGGCGAAAGCCUGAUGCAGCGACGCCGCGUGAGCGAAGAAGUAUUUCGGUAUGUAAAGCUCUAUCAGCAGGGAAGAUAAUGACGGUACCUGACUAAGAAGCACCGGCUAAAUACGUGCCAGCAGCCGCGGUAAUACGUAUGGUGCAAGCGUUAUCCGGAUUUACUGGGUGUAAAGGGAGCGCAGGCGGUGCGGCAAGUCUGAUGUGAAAGCCCGGGGCUCAACCCCGGUACUGCAUUGGAAACUGUCGUACUAGAGUGUCGGAGGGGUAAGCGGAAUUCCUAGUGUAGCGGUGAAAUGCGUAGAUAUUAGGAGGAACACCAGUGGCGAAGGCGGCUUACUGGACGAUA
rnacentral:rRNA from 1 species